GACGAACGCUGGCGGCGUGCCUAAUACAUGCAAGUCGAGCGGGGUUCCUUCGGGAACCUAGCGGCGAACGGGUGAGUAACACGUGGGCAACCUGCCCUCAAGCCUGGGAUAACUUCGGGAAACCGGUGCUAAUACCAGAUAAUCAUCGCUUCCGCAUGGGAGCGUUGUAAAAGUUUUUCGCUUGAGGAUGGGCCCGCGGUGCAUUAGCUAGUUGGUAGGGUAACAGCCUACCAAGGCGACGAUGCAUAGCCGACCUGAGAGGGUGACCGGCCACACUGGGACUGAGACACGGCCCAGACUCCUACGGGAGGCAGCAGUAGGGAAUUUUCCGCAAUGGGCGAAAGCCUGACGGAGCAACGCCGCGUGAGUGAUGACGGCCUUCGGGUUGUAAAGCUCUGUUCUUAGGGAAGAAGUUCUGACGGUACCUAAGGAGAAAGCCCCGGCUAACUACGUGCCAGCCGCCGCCGUAACAC
rnacentral:rRNA from 1 species